rnacentral:rRNA from 1 species
GACGAACGCUGGCGGCGUGCUUAACACAUGCAAGUCGAACGGAAAGGCCCUGCUUUUGUGGGGUGCUCGAGUGGCGAACGGGUGAGUAACACGUGAGUAACCUGCCCUUGACUUUGGGAUAACUUCAGGAAACUGGGGCUAAUACCGGAUAGGAGCUCCUGCUGCAUGGUGGGGGUUGGAAAGUUUCGGCGGUUGGGGAUGGACUCGCGGCUUAUCAGCUUGUUGGUGGGGUAGUGGCUUACCAAGGCUUUGACGGGUAGCCGGCCUGAGAGGGUGACCGGGGACAGUGGGAAGGAGAGAGGGAGGAGAGGGCGACGGGAGGCAGGAGGGGGGAAGAGGGCAAAAUGGGCGGGAGCGUGAUGAAGGAAAGCGGGGUGGGGGAGGAAGGGGGGCGGGUGGUAAAAAGAGGUAGCCGGUGAAGAAGAGGGAGGGAAGGGAAGGGGUAAAGAAGAAACGGAUAAUUAAGUG